AUUGAACGCUGGCGGCAUGCUUUGCACAUGCAAGUCGAACGGUAACAGGCCGCAAGGUGCUGACGAGUGGCGAACGGGUGAGUAAUGCAUCGGAACGUGCCCAGUCGUGGGGGAUAACUACUCGAAAGAGUAGCUAAUACCGCAUACGAUCUAUGGAUGAAAGCGGGGGACCGUAAGGCCUCGCGCGAUUGGAGCGGCCGAUGUCAGAUUAGGUAGUUGGUGGGGUAAAGGCUCACCAAGCCAACGAUCUGUAGCUGGUCUGAGAGGACGACCAGCCACACUGGGACUGAGACACGGCCCAGACUCCUACGGGAGGCAGCAGUGGGGAAUUUUGGACAAAGGGCGCAAGCCUGAUCCAGCAAUGCCGCGUGCAGGAAGAAGGCCUUCGGGUUGUAAACUGCUUUUGUACGGAACGAAACGGCUCUGGUUAAUACCCGGGGCUAAUGACGGUACCGUAAGAAUAAGCACCGGCUAACUACGUG
rnacentral:rRNA from 1 species